GACGAACGCUGGCGGCGUGCUUAACACAUGCAAGUCGAACGAUGAAGCCGGAGCUUGCUCCGGUAGAUUAGUGGCGAACGGGUGAGUAACACGUGAGCAAUCUGCCCUUGACUCUGGGAUAACUGCGGGAAACUGUAGCUAAUACCGGAUACGACACCUUGGGGCAUCCCAGGGUGUGGAAAGAAUUUCAGUCAAGGAUGAGCUCGCGGCCUAUCAGCUAGUUGGUGAGGUAAUGGCUCACCAAGGCGACGACGGGUAGCCGGCCUGAGAGGGUGACCGGCCACACUGGAACUGAGACACGGUCCAGACUCCUACGGGAGGCAGCAGUGGGGAAUAUUGCACAAUGGGCGAAAGCCUGAUGCAGCAACGCCGCGUGAGGGAUGAAGGCCUUCGGGUUGUAAACCUCUUUUAGCAGGGAAGAAGCGAAAGUGACGGUACCUGCAGAAAAAGCACCGGCUAACUACGUGCCAGCAGCCGCAGUAA
rnacentral:rRNA from 1 species